AUCUGGAUAGCUCGGUUGGUUAGAGCAUGGUGCUGAUAAUGCCAUGAAUGACGGUUCAAUCCCUGUAUGGGACA